CAGCAGCCACGGUAAUACGUAGGGUGCGAGCGUUAAUCGGAAUUACUGGGCGUAAAGCGUGCGCAGGCGGUUCUAUAAGACAGAUGUGAAAUCCCCGGGCUCAACCUGGGAACUGCAUUUGUGACUGUAGAGCUGGAGUGCGGCAGAGGGGGAUGGAAUUCCGCGUGUAGCAGUGAAAUGCGUAGAUAUGCGGAGGAACACCGAUGGCGAAGGCAAUCCCCUGGGCCUGCACUGACGCUCAUGCACGAAAGCGUGGGGAGCAAACAGGAUUAGAGACCCCCGUAGUCCCUGUCUCUUAUAA
rnacentral:rRNA from 1 species